GCCUGCGGCGGGGCAUCGGUGGUAGCGCUGGCAGCCUUCGUGCGGCUGCAGCGCCGGGUCGCCGCGCUCGGCGGCGUGCCGCUGGUG
rnacentral:tRNA from 1 species